rnacentral:rRNA from 1 species
ACGGAGGGUGCAAGCGUUAUCCGGAUUCACUGGGUUUAAAGGGUGCGUAGGUGGGUUGGUAAGUCAGUGGUGAAAUCUCCGAGCUUAACUUGGAAACUGCCAUUGAUACUAUCAGUCUUGAAUACCGUGGAGGUCAGCGGAAUAUGUCAUGUAGCGGUGAAAUGCUUAGAUAUGACAUAGAACACCAAUUGCGAAGGCAGCUGGCUACACGAAUAUUGACACUGAGGCACGAAAGCGUGGGGAUCAAACAGG